rnacentral:rRNA from 1 species
GUGGGGAAUAUUGGGCAAUGGGCGAAAGCCUGACCCAGCAACGCCGCGUGAAGGAAGAAGGUCUUCGGAUCGUAAACUUCUAUCCUUGGUGAAGAUAAUGACGGUAGCCGAGAAGUAAGCCCCGGCUAACUACGUGCCAGCAGCCGCGGUAAUACGUAGGGGGCAAGCGUUGUCCGGAAUGAUUGGGCGUAAAGGGCGCGUAGGCGGCCUGGUAAGUCUGGAGUGAAAGUCCUGCUUUUAAGGUGGGAAUUGCUUUGGAUACUGUCGGGCGUGAGGGCAGGAGAGGUAAGUGGAAUUCCCGGGGUAGCGGUGAAAUGAGUAGAGAUCGGGAGGAACACCAGUGGCGAAGGCGACGUACUGGACUGUAACUGACGCUGAGGCGCGAAAGUGUGGGGAGCAAACAGGAUUAGAAACCCUAGUAGUCC